CUCUUGAGCUUCAUUUUCUCCCUUUUAGGUCUCAAGCAGCGAGGCUUCGUAGCCAUAGAAACCAACAAACAGCAGCCGGUGGCCUCUGCGCGUGCGCAGUCCAGUUCGCAAGGCCCGCGGUGGGACCCGGGUGAGCAGGUCGCUGUGUCUCCCUAGGGCAGAACCUGCUCCACGAUUCCCCAGGCUGAGUACAGAAUUGCUCCACUCUACAUCACCUGCCAGGAAGAGCCACUCAAUAUGAAGAGUGGACAAAAAUCCCUGAAACAAGACUACGUUGAGCAGAGGAGAGCUGCCAUGAAGUGAGCGGCCCUUCUUCAUCAAGCCCGUGCACCGUGAUGUUCCUGCCUCGGAGCCAGUUGAUCAUGGACCAAAGCCUCUGAAACUGUGAGCCAAAAUAAACCAUCCUUUCCUAUAAA